GUCUAUGGCCAUGCCACCCUGAAUAUGCCCAAUCUCGUCUGAUCUCGGAAGCUAAGCAGGGUCAGGCCUGGUGAGUACUUGGAUGGGAGACCACCUAGAAAGACCAGGUGCUGUAGGUG
rnacentral:rRNA from 1 species